GUGUUUGUCAAUUGUCAAUUUCUCUAUCUUCUUCUACUCUAGUCUCCCAAAUAAAACAACACAUCAAUCAAAUAUUUGCUUCCAACUUUCAUAUUUUGAUCAAAAAUAAAUUCUGACCUUAUUUUGUUAAAAAUAAAACACGAAAUCCAAAAUGACAUAGUAUUACUAUCUAAGAUUAGAUACAAACACACACACAUAUAUAUAGAAAGUUAUAUAUAGGAAAAAUGCGAACAUUGUGUGAUGUUUGCGAAAGUGCCGGUGCGAUUCUGUUUUGUGCUGCUGAUGAAGCUGCUCUUUGCCGUGCUUGCGAUGAUAAGGUGCAUAUGUGUAAUAAGCUUGCUAGUCGGCAUGUACGAGUAGGACUUGCCGAUCCUAGUGACGUACCACGCUGUGACAUAUGUGAAAAUGCACCAGCUUUCUUCUACUGUGGAAUAGACGGAAGUUCUCUGUGCUUACAGUGUGACAUGAUUGUCCAUGUUGGUGGUAAACGAACACAUGAAAGAUUUCUGUUACUAAGGCAACGAGUCGAGUUUCCAGGGGAUAGAAAUGGAAAUGGACGUGACGAAGAGUUAGGGUCACAACCUAUUGAUCCAGGAGAUGUAAGGAGGGAACCAAAUAAUCAACCUAGGCAUACAACAAGAGAGAGCCAGCAUCAUAGGUUAUCUGCCAUAGGAAUGCUGGAAAAUAAUGCUGAAGGUGCUGGCAGAGGAAUGGAAAAUAAGCUGUUUGAUCUUAAUGCAAGGCCUCAACGGAUGCAUGGGCAAACGUCAAACAACCAGGAACAAGGAAUGGAUAUUAGUGGCGGUAAUAAUGAUUGUGCAAGUGUGGUUCCUGUUGGAUCCUUUAAAAGAGAGCCUGAGAAGUAACUGAGUUCUUGUUACUGCAUACCGCAUGCUGUUGAUACUAUAAAAUUCUACCAUAUGAAGUGAGUAGCGCACUAGUCAUAGGGUGUCAUCCUUGUAAGAAGAUGGUCUUGGAGAUUAUCACAGCACAUGCUGCUUUGUUAGUCCUGUAACGAGGGGGGCUCGACUGUUUUGAAGGCAUACUAUUUACCAUUGAAGUGGUUGUCACUCUCACUUUCAAUUGCAGCACAUUUUAAUCUGAUGAUAGAGUUCCUUAGUGCGAAGGAAAAUCCAAGAUUUUUGGUAGCCCGAACCAUGAAUUCAUAACUGUUCAUAAACGUGUUCUCAUCUUAUCUCAUGCAAUUUUAGAUUCUAAUUUUAAUGCAUUUGGUGUUGUAUCA